UUCAAGGAAAUAAGGGCUUAAGGUGAAUACCUUGGCAUUCAGAAGCGAAGAAGGACGUGGUUACCGGCGAAACGCCUCGGGGAGUUGGAAACAAGCUUUGAUCCGGGGGUAUCCGAAUGAGGCAACUCUUUAAAACUUCUUGUUGAAUCUAUAGGCAAGAAAGAGCGAACCUGGAGAAUUGAAACAUCUUAGUAACCAGAGGAAUAGAAAGUAAAAACGAUUCUCUUAGUAGCGGCGAGCGAAAUGGGAACAGCCUAAACUUUUCAAAAUAAUAAAUAAAUAAUGAAAAGGGUAGUGGGACUAAACAGUAAAUAAAGAUAAAAAACAGCUAGGAGAAUAAACUGGAAAGUUUAACCGAAGAAAGUGAUAGUCUUGUAACCGAAAGCUCUGUUUUCUCUUAAGUUUUUUCCCAAGUAGCAUGAGGCACGUGGAAUCUCGUGUGAAUCUGCGAGGACCACCUCGUAAGGCUAAAUAUUCCUGAAUGACCGAUAGUGAACUAGUACCGUGAGGGAGAGGUGAAAAGAACCCCGGGAGGGGAGUGAAAUAGAACAUGAAACCUUAAGCUUACAAGCAGUAGGAGGACGACUUAUCGUUUGACUGCGUGCCUGUUGAAGAAUGAGCCGGCGACUUAUAGUUAGUGGCAGGUUAAGGUAGAGAAUACUGGAGCCACAGUGAAAGCGAGCUUUAAUAGAGCGUGUGUCACUAGUUAUAGACCCGAACCCGGAUGAUCUAACCAUGGCCAGGAUGAAGCCUAGGUAAUACUAUGUGGAGGUCCGAACCGACUGAUGUUGAAAAAUCAGCGGAUGAGUUGUGGUUAGGGGUGAAAUACCAAUCGAAUUCGGAGCUAGCUGGUUCUCCCCGAAAUGUGUUUAGGCGCAGCGGUCAAUAUUAUAGCUUAGAGGUAAAGCACUGUUUCGGUGCGGGCUGGUAAUUCGGUACCAAAUCGAGGCAAACUCUGAAUNNUAAGUGAACAGUUAACCAGUAAGACUGUGGGGGAUAAGCUUCAUAGUCAAGAGGGAAACAGCCCAGAUCACCAGUUAAGGCCCCUAAAUAAUUAUUAAGUGGUAAAGGAGGUGGGAAGACUCAGACAGCCAGGAGGUUUGCUUAGAAGCAGCAAUCCUUUAAAGAGUGCGUAAUAGCUCACUGGUCUAGUAAUCCUGCGCCGAAAAUGAACGGGACUUAAAUAAUUUGCCGAAGCUGUGAGAUAUUUAUUACAAGUAAAUAUCGGUAGGGGAGCGUUCUGUUGUAGGUUGAAGCAUUAACGUAAGUGGGUGNGNACGAAGCAGAAGUGAGAAUGUCGGCUUGAGUAGCGAAAACAUUGGUGAGAAUCC
rnacentral:rRNA from 1 species